rnacentral:rRNA from 1 species
CGCCUGGGGAGUACGGUCGCAAGACUGAAACUCAAAGGAAUUGACGGGGACCCGCACAAGCAGUGGAGCAUGUGGUUUAAUUCGAAGCAACGCGAAGAACCUUAUCAGGGCUUGACAUUCCUCUGACCGCUACAGAGAUGUACCUUUCUUUCGGGACAGAGGAGACAGGUGGUGCAUGGUUGUCGUCAGCUCGUGUCGUGAGAUGUUGGGUUAAGUUCCGCAACGAGCGCAACCCUUGAUCUUAGUUGCCAGCAUUUCGGGUGGGCACUCUAAGGUGACUGCCGGUGACAAACCGGAGGAAGGUGGGGAUGACGUCAAAUCAUC